GGUUUUGGAAUUGGCUGGAAAUGCGGCCCGGGACAACAAGAAGAACCGGAUUGUUCCUCGACAUGUGUGUCUGGCGGUGAGGAAUGAUGAGGAGCUUGGGAGAUUGUUGGGUGGGGUUACUAUUGCUCAUGGUGGAGUUUUACCCAGCAUCAACCCUGUCCUGCUGCCGAAGAAGACUGGGAAGGAGGGGGUGGAGCCCAAGAGUCCGAAGAAGGCGGCUAAGUCCCCAAAGAAGGCUUAAAUCUGUGCUCUGGGACUGUUAGCCGUAGAAGUCUUAAAGUUGUGCUCUUAGGCUGUUAGCUGUAGAUAUAUGGGGUGGAUCAGUUGGUCUAUGUAUUGUGGUUUCUGGUAUUUGACUGUAUUCCAUGUUUUUAUGGUUUAGUGUUAAAUUAUGUUUGUCUUGGGUUUUUGAUUGUGUUCAAUUAAAU
rnacentral:misc_RNA from 1 species